UACCUCAAAAUUCCGCAACAGUCUGUUUCAUCAGUAAAGAAUCAUCAGGCGGUAGAUACCGCCUGAUGAUUCUUUACUGAUGAAACAGACUGUUGCGGAAUUU